GGGUGAGUAACGCGUAUCCAACCUGCCCAUCACUUGGGAAUAACCUUGCGAAAGUAAGACUAAUGUCCAAUGACAUUUAUAGAAGGCAUCGGAAAUGAAUUAAAGAUUUAUCGGUGAUGGAUGGGGAUGCGUCUGAUUAGCUUGUUGGCGGGGUAAAGGCCCACCAAGGCGACGAUCAGUAGGGGUUCUGAGAGGAAGGUCCCCCACAUUGGAACUGAGACACGGUCCAAACUCCUACGGGAGGCAGCAGUGAGGAAUAUUGGUCAAUGGGCGAGAGCCUGAACCAGCCAAGUAGCGUGCAGGAUGACGGCCCUAUGGGUUGUAAACUGCUUUUAUAGGGGAAUAAAGUGAGCCACGUGUGGUUUUUUGCAUGUACCCUAUGAAUAAGGACCGGCUAAUUCCGCGCCAGCAGCCGCGGUAAUACGGAAGGUCCGGGCGUUAUCCGGAUUUAUUGGGUUUAAAGGGAGCGUAGGCCGGAGAUUAAGCGUGUUGUGAAAUGUAGAUGCUCAACAUCUGCACUGCAGCGCGAACUGGUUUCCUUGAGUACGCAUAAAGUGGGCGGAAUUCGUGGUGUAGCGGUGAAAUGCUUAGAUAUCACGAAGAACUCCGAUUGCGAAGGCAGCUCACUGGGGCGCAACUGACGCUGAAGCCCGAAAGCGCGGGUAUCGAACAGGAUUAGAUACCCUGGUAGUCCGCGCGGUAAACGAUGGAUGCCCGCUGUUGGGCCAAC
rnacentral:rRNA from 1 species